GGUCAUCGCCCUUCGUCUCUGUUGCCUUAUCCAGCAUCCACUGGGCAUCUCUGGCGCCCGCCACCAUCUGCCGAGGGACACUUUACUGCCUGGCUGGAAAUGCUGUGCACUCUGUAACAAUGUUCUCUUGCAUCUCUCAAAAACAUGGCACUGCAGAUGUUGCUCAGCUUCCUGGACUUGACUGAGGGCAGCAGAUGUGCCAAGAAGAGCCGAAUCUCUGCGGUGCCAGGUGUGACUGUUCUUUUGCUCCCAGGCCUGCUCUGCCUGCUUUCCUGUUCACUCCGCCUUGAUCGAGUAAUGGAUUAGCCUCCUAGAACCUGUAGGUCAGCUCAGCCAUACCCUCCAUGUCCACGGAGUGAGACGGGAGCAUUAGCCAGCGGAAGGGCAGAAUGAGAGCACACACCUGAACACCUGGGAAAGGCUGGAAGACCCUCACAUCUCUGUAUCUCCUCUUCAUCUCAGGAGCCUGAAGCAGGGAUAGUGUUGCAGCUUCUCCUGAAACACAUCUUGAAAUGCAGCUCCUCCUCCCUGGAAAGAAAGGCCUCCCUUAGCAAGUGGCCUGUUAUGCCUGUUUACUGUGUCCUAAUCUAAAUUGAAUCAUAUGGACAAAACAGUUUCAAGCACAGUAACAGAGCUGAUAUAAAAUAGACAUUUCAAAAAUAGAAAAUGUCUUGUAGGUGUUUACAAUUUCUUCAGCGAGAUAUUUAUUUUAGCUACUAAGGUUAAGGAUGUUGCUAAAUUAAGUGUUUUUACGGAUACCCCCUACUAAUGCUGAAGAACAUGAUAUAUCUCAAUGACUUAAAAAUCACCUGGAGGAGUACUAUUCUAAAAUCCUGACUGAAUGUGUUAGAGAAGACAGCCAGAUCCAUUACCUACACUGCACUACUGUCUGUGUGCUGCACCCAAGUCUGCUAUAAUCCGACUGAUAUUCUACCGCAAGUUACUGACAGGCGGGCACUUGCUCGUUGUAAAUCACUGUUCCUCAGCCAUGUCUCUGAAAACAGGCAAUAGUUCAUCAAUUGCCAAAGUUUUUUGGAAGAACUGACAUCAGCCC